AACUGUAAGGUUGAAUUUAAUCAACCAUGUGUUGGCUUUAUUCCAUGACAAAUUUGCUUGUAAUAUAGCACUUAGAAACCUUGUAUUUAGGUAGGAAUCAUGUAAGGGUAGUGUGUGAGAGAGUGUGAAGAAAUGCUCAAGACAGUGCAGUGAAGCAGAGACUCGUGGCUAAGACUCGCGGGUGGCUCGCGGCUUGCAAGCCGCCAAAAGUUGCUCACGUGCAGAGCAUGCAGGGGAGCUGAACAGUCACGCCACCUGGAGCACUACACGACAAAAAUCCAGACUGGCCAUUAAGUUAGCUCGCGACUCAGUCAAGUCGCGAGGUCAAGUCGCCAGCCAGCCCUGUUUUUGGAAAAACUGACUCUUCGUAUUCCAUUCUCACACCAGUAUAAAUACCCCUCAUUCCCACAAGAUAUGUGUGGCUAUUCAGAAAGAAAAACCCUAAGAGAGGUUUCUUAAAAACACCCACCCAAUUAGAGAGAGCUACUCAUUCUUAGAGAGAAACCUUUGUAGUCUCUUCUCAUUCCCUCUCUCAUUGUCAUACCUAUUGAGAGGAGAUUUCUAUCCAAACACUACCCACACCAAUUUAGAGUGUUGAGUGUUUUUGGAGCUUUGGGAAGCAUUGGAGGAUGCCAAGGAUGGCGGAUGCUACGGUCUAGUAGCGGAAUCCGGUAAGCUAGAAAAGAAAAAGGUUCGGCGCAACCUCGUUGGAGCAAGAAGUUUGGAGGGCUUAGGUACACUGGGUAGAUUAGGCUUGGAGGGUCUAUUGCUGUCCUUGUAUCCCAACUACAUUUUCUAGUGGAUUAUUGACUGCUUGGAGGGCGGCGGAGAGGUUUUACGCCGAGGGCUUCGGUUUCCUCUUCGAUAACACAUCGUGUGUUGUCCUUGUAUUUGCAUCUCUCUUCCCUUUAUCUUUGCCUUUUAUUUUCUGCUGUGGAUAUGAUUUAUAAUUGGCUUA